CCACAGAGAUCAUGGUUCCUCACUGCAGGGUAGAAUUCCAUCCCUUCAUUCACCAUGACGACCAGACGAUGCAAAAGCCUUUCCUCCCACAGGACAAAACCAUUUACAGCUCUUUGAAGAAAGGAGGAAAUGGAAUGGAUAUUGGGACAUAGUAAUUUUCUUAAUCUGUCACUUACAGCUGAAAUAUCAAACACCUAGCAAAGCUUCUGACAGAUGGGGUACUUGGAGUGGGGGCCUCAACAAUGAUCCAACAGUGAUGAAUCACUGAUCAGUUUUCCAUCUCCAG